UCAGUAGGUGAACUGCGGAAGGAUCAUUA
rnacentral:rRNA from 1 species